AGCUCGUAGUUGAAUUUCGGGAUUUUACCGUUGGUCGGGCUAUUGUCUGUACUGGCGUGUAGAAUUUCUACCUUCUGGGGAACUAUCAUGUUAUUUGUUUAGCGUGGUGGGAAACCAGGACCUUUACCUUGAAAAAAUUAGAGUGUUCAAAGCAGGCUUAUGUCUGAAUACAUUAGCAUGGAAUAAUAAAAUAGGACGGUGGUCCUGUUUUGUUGGUUUCUGAAUCACCGUAAUGAUUAAUAGGGAUAGUUGGGGGCAUUAGUAUUCAAUUGUCAGAGGUGAAAUUCUUGGAUUUAUUGAAGACUAACUUCUGCGAAAGCAUUUGCCAAGGAUGUUUUCAUUAAUCAAGAACGAAAGUUAGGGGAUCGAAGACGAUCAGAUACCGUCGUAGUCUUAACCAUAAACUAUGCCGACUAGGGAUCGGACGAUGUUAAUUUUUCUUGACUCGUUCGGC
rnacentral:rRNA from 1 species